UACGUAGGGUGCAAGCGUUGUCCGGAAUUAUUGGGCGUAAAGAGCUCGUAGGCGGUUUGUCGCGUCUGCUGUGAAAACCCGAGGCUCAACCUCGGGCCUGCAGUGGGUACGGGCAGACUAGAGUGCGGUAGGGGGAGAUUGGAAUUCCUGGUGUAGCGGUGGAAUGCGCAGAUAUCAGGAGAACACCGAUGGCGAAGGCAGAUCUCUGGGCCGUAACUGACGCUGAGGAGCGAAAGCAUGGGGAGCGAACAGG
rnacentral:rRNA from 1 species